UUGUCGCUUGGGGGGUACGGCCAGUACGUUGGUUGCUUCCUACCGGGAUCCUCCCGAGAUGGUGUUGGCGAAAUCCGUCGGAGGCCGAUUGUCUGACCACUCCAUGCCGGCGACCGUUGCUGGAGGAUGUGGGGCCUGGAAAAUCAGAGGUGAGGUUGGAGCCUGAGAUCUGGCUGCGGUGGCCGUGGGUUGCCAUGUGGAUGCUUCGCGAGAAGUC
rnacentral:lncRNA from 1 species